AGAGUUUGAUCCUGGCUCAGGACGAACGCUGGCGGCGUGCCUAAUACAUGCAAGUCGAGCGGAGGUUAUUGAGUAGUAAUACGAGAUGACCUUAGCGGCGGACGGGUGAGUAACGCGUGAGCAACCUGGCCUAUACAGGGGGAUAACAGGGAGAAAUUCCUGCUAAUACCGCAUAAGACCACAGUAUCGCAUGGUACUGGGGUCAAAGGAGAGAUUCGGUAUAGGAUGGGCUCGCGUCCCAUUAGCUAGUUGGGGGUGCAACGGACCACCAAGGCGACGAUGGGUAGCCGACCUGAGAGGGUGAUCGGCCACACUGGGACUGAGACACGGCCCAGACUCCUACGGGAGGCAGCAGUAGGGAAUCUUCGGCAAUGGGGGCAACCCUGACCGAGCAACGCCGCGUGAGUGAAGAAGGUUUUCGGAUCGUAAAGCUCUGUUGUAAGUCAAGAACGAGUGUGAGAGUGGAAAGUUCACACUGUGACGGUAGCUUACCAGAAAGGGACGGCUAACUACGUGCCAGCAGCCGCGGUAAUACGUAGGUCCCGAGCGUUAUCCGGAUUUAUUGGGUUUAAAGGGUGCGUAGGCGGAUUAGUAAGUUAGAGGUGAAAGCUCGAUGCUCAACAUCGAAAUUGCCUCUGAUACUGUUAGUCUAGAGUAUAGUUGCGGAAGGCGGAAUGUGUGGUGUAGCGGUGAAAUGCUUAGAUAUCACACAGAACACCGAUUGCGAAGGCAGCUUUCCAAGCUAUUACUGACGCUGAUGCACGAAAGCGUGGGGAGCGAACAGGAUUAGAUACCCUGGUAGUCCACGCCGUAAACGGUGGAUGCUGGAUGUGGGGCCCGUUCCACGGGUUCCGUGUCGGAGCUAACGCGUUAAGCAUCCCGCCUGGGGAGUACGGCCGCAAGGCUAAAACUCAAAGAAAUUGACGGGGGCCCGCACAAGCGGCGGAGCAUGCGGAUUAAUUCGAUGCAACGCGAAGAACCUUACCUGGGCUUGACAUGUUCCCGACGGUCGUAGAGAUACGGCUUCCCUUCGGGGCGGGUUCACAGGUGGUGCAUGGUCGUCGUCAGCUCGUGUCGUGAGAUGUUGGGUUAAGUCCCGCAACGAGCGCAACCCUCGCCCCGUGUUGCCAGCGGAUUAUGCCGGGAACUCACGGGGGACCGCCGGGGUUAACUCGGAGGAAGGUGGGGAUGACGUCAGAUCAUCAUGCCCCUUACGUCCAGGGCUUCACGCAUGCUACAAUGGCCGGUACAACGGGAUGCGACGCGGCGACGCGGAGCGGAUCCCUGAAAACCGGUCUCAGUUCGGAUCGCAGUCUGCAACUCGACUGCGUGAAGGCGGAGUCGCUAGUAAUCGCGAAUCAGCAACGUCGCGGUGAAUGCGUUCCCGGGCCUUGUACACACCGCCCGUCAAGUCAUGAAAGUGGGCAGCACCCGAAGCCGGUGGCCUAACCCCUUGUGGGAUGGAGCCGUCUAAGGUGAGGCUCGUGAUUGGGACUAAGUCGUAACAAGGUAGCCGUACCGGAAGGUGCGGCUG
rnacentral:rRNA from 1 species